UAUAUAUAUAUAUAUAUAUAUAUAGAGUGCGGCUAGGAUGCUUAUGGAAGCACGGAGGGCUCCGUGCUUCCACUUUGUUUUCGAUGUUUGGACUUUCGAAUCGACGAUCGGCUCCGUUAGACUUGAUCUAGAGUAUUUGAAGUAUCUAGAAAAUAAAUUUUGCGAUUUUUCGAUAUCCUUUGACUAGUGAUCGAAGUGGCUCAAAAUUAAUAAUUUUAAUGGCCGUGGUAAGCCGGUUGCAAGUUUAACGGUGUAGAAAUAUCCAAAUCACAUGAAAUUUUGAUAAAAAAUUCUUUAUACCAUAUAAAACAAGAUCAAUAACUUUGAUCUAAAAUUUUAAUGUCAUAUCAUCAUAUUGAUGGUAUGACACUAAAAUCUCGACUCUCAAUAUAUAUGAGGGUCAGCAUUGAAUAAGAAGUGCCAAGAAGCUACUCUAUAACAUCUUAAGCUUUCCCAAAAAAAAAAAAAAAAGGAAAAAAGAAAAAACCAUUGUUUCACAAGCUAUUUCUCUAUCGAAAAGUAGAGCUUAUUAUAUACAAAAUAAUAAUAAAAUACCUUACCUAAACCAUACUACAUAACAUAUGCCAACUUCAUUAGAUUGGAUGAUACACUCAAAACUCUCUUUAUCAUUCAUUAAAUUGAAUUAUAGAUUUGAAAGAAGAGUCCUUCUCCUUUGCAAUUAGGAAAAGAAAUUAAAUAACAAUAGCAAUAAUUAAAAUGCUCAUGGAAAUCUCUAUUGUCAUCUAGGACAACAAAUAUGUAUGGUUUAUCACCUAACACUAAUUAUUUUUGCAAUGGUUCGUACAUUGUGUCGUUUUGUGAUUGGCCAACUAAUUUUGUUACUCAUAUAAAUAGCACAUUUUUGAACUUUUAAUUAGAAAUUUAUUAGUGCUAAAUGUGCGUAAUAUGAUUGGUUCACCCUCAUCUCCUAAGAUGAGAUUGGAUUCCACUCAAUUAGUGGUAUUUUAGUGCUAAAAUCUUACUUUAUAUAUUAGGUUUUCACAAAAGUUUCAAUUUUGUGCUCAUUUUGCAAAGAAGUUGAUUAGUGAUUAUGAUCCAUGCAUCAUAAGGUCAAAUCAAUUAAGAGAUUGUUUAUGUACUCCACUCUAACUCAUACUUUUAGGGCACACAAUUAUAUAAUGGCAAACUUAUUGAUAGGAGUAGUGCACAAUUAUAAUUUUUUAUUUUAGCUUUUUUUUUAAACAAAUUUCAUGUAUUUGCCUUUUGGCUUGCGAAUGCAACAUAGAAGUAGUAAAAUUUAUAUUUUUCUUUAAGAACUAUCAAAGUAUAGUGUUUCUCCAACAAAUGAAAUAUAAGAAACCUAUUGGUUGUUGCUCUCAUGAGAGGUUGCUAUUUUGAAUUCAAUAAUACAGUAUAAUUGGUCCUUUUCAUCUACACUCCUUUUGAAGUCACCAUAGAUCAAUAAUCAUGAGACUCUUUAUAAAAAAUGCACUAACUUUACAAUAUAUAUGCAUGUGUGUUCAAAUGCCUGAACCUCUUGUCCAGUAUAUCUUUUUUUCUUCUAUUUCCAAAUAAUAUUUGAUGGAUUGAGGGAGUGCCAUGAGAAAAUGCUCACGGAUAAGGAGGAAUUACAAAGGAUUAAGUAAUGUUAGUUCAAUGAUAAUAUGUGACACCCUAAUAGUCCUAUAUCGGAUAGUUAUGACUAGAAUAGUGUCACAGACUCCCCCCGUUUAAGCCCUGACGUCCUCGUCAGCCCUAAACACACACAUGGCCCAAGAUCUCUCCCCGUUUAGCCCUGGCGUCCUCGUCAGCCCUAAACACACACAUGGCCCAAAUCUCUCCCCCGUUUAGGCCCUGACAUCCUCGUCAGCCCUAAACACACACACGACCCAAGAUCAUCAGGCGAUGUGAGACUCGUCUCGUUAGCUUUUGUCUUAGUCCAUCAUUUCUCUCACACUUCCGACUGGUGAACUGGCUCUGAUACCAAAUAUAAUGAACCGAUCCGCUAGCAAUAAUAACUCGUUGGGCCCAACCACCGGCCCAAAAUACUUAAACCCAAUUAUUAUGUCUAACCUAUUCAAGUUUAUAUACCUUAAUUAAUGAGUUAUUAUUGUUAGCGGGUCGAAUCGUUACAUAAUUGUUAAUGAUUAGCCAACUCCUAUCCUGCAUAUAUUUACUUGAAUAUAUUGGGAUUUUCUAAGUUGUAAAGCAUUGAUUCUUGUCACUAACCUUUUUUUGGUUGGUUUUUGAGUGCGAAUGAUAAAUUGGUGAUAAUGUUAUUUUACAGUGGUGUAGUACAAUAAUUGAUAAGCAAUGUAAGAAUAAUGUAACACUAGUGAACGUGCGAGGGAAGUGUAAUGGAAGAUUACCUAAAAAGGCAAGUGAUCCUAUAUUCUCCUCCUUAGAACUUAGAUGACAAAUUAAUACAUUAACAUGCAUGUUACCUAACAUAACUAUUUUCUCAAUUAAAAAAGUGGCAUCAAUAUAUAAUAACAACAUAUUCGCAAACAAGAGUGAUUCAAAUGAAAAACAUGUCUAUUAUUUUCAAAAAGAAAAAAGAAUAGUCAAUUUUAUUGAAGCAUCAAAUGAAACUGCAUUGAGCCAGUUCAACCAACCUAUUAAAUUAAGAUCAAAUCAAGAUAAAAACUAAAACCCAACUGCAUCAAACAUAACUUGAUAUUUUGUAAAUUAGUUUCCUAUUCUUGAGAGUAUCUGAUUAUAACCUCGUCUACAAUAUAGGAUUGAGAAGCGCUUAUUUAGUUGUGUAAGUAUUUCAAAAGGAUGUUAAUAAAGUAUCACUACAACAAAAACGGUCUAUAGCGACACUUUUAAAUACAGGUACAUGUUAAAAAAGUGCUGCUAGCUAAAAUUACCAACACUUUUAAAAAGUGUUGCUAUAUGUGGGGUCACUAGGUAUAUAGUGACAGUUAAAGAGUGUCGCUAUAACCUAAAAAAGUGCUGCUAAUUUACCAACACUUAUUUAAGCAUUUAGCAACCGUCGAAACUCUAUCUCGUUGGCUGCGGUGGCGGAGGAGGACAACAGGAAAGGAUCUUCGUCUAGAAUUUCAGUGGAUUCAGUGAAGAGAGAAGAAAAGAUGGUAAUUGAGUUUUCUUUUUUUUUCUUUUCUGUUUGUAAUCGGGUCAAAUGGACUGGGUGUGGUGGGUUGAGUAGAGUAAUCUUUUAUUUUUGGUUGGAUUGGGCUUUAUAUUUAGGCAUAAGUAGAAGUUUUUUUUAGUUUUAGCAUAAAUUGGACACUUACUCAAAAGUGUUCCUAUCAUGUGCCCCUAUAACCUAAUUCUGUUGUAGUGUGUGGUCUUCUAAUUUCUUUAAGUUUUCACAAUACUCUAUUCUAAAGUUUAAGUCUAUAUGAAUGUAGGCCAAGAUCAUUAUUUGGAAUUAAAGGCUCCAUAUUCAGUAUCAACAUUUUCUUUUUGAAAAAGAUAUUGUCCUCUAUCAAGUUGGCAACUUUUACAUGAAUGCUUUGCUAGCUCAUUCUCCACCCAUGUGAACCACCCUCUCUCUCUCUCUCUCUCUCUCUCUCUCUCUCUCUACCACAUAUCUUAUAUACUAUGUAUAUAUACAGCCUAGUUUGUGAACAAACUUCUCGACUUAAUUUGUACAACCCUACGAAAAAAAUAAUUAAUUAUGCAAAAAAUAUUUUAUUCAGCCCAAACAAGCACUCAGUAUCUUCUAUAACUAAAAAAGAUUGUACAUGUUUUUUUAUCAUAAUCAGAUUACUGAACGAAAGGAUACAAAAUGUUUUUAUUAAUUCGAUUUAGUUAGGCAAAAAGAUUAAUAACUGACAAAAAUUAGCUAAACUAAAAUUAUUAAAAUAAAAUGAGGAGCGAAAAGAAGGUACGUACGCACUAUCCUUGAAUCAUCUUCGUACUAUCUCCACACCUAACACAUGCAAUGCCUGUGAGAACAUAUAUAUAUAUAUAUAUAGUACUGUUGUAUAUUAUUAAGAUUCUUACGUGGAAUCCAAUACCUAUCCUUCAAAAUAAAGUUAGUUGUCUCCACUUUUUUAUUCUGUACAAAGCCUUUUAAAUAUAAUAAUAAUACAUAUUUAAUGAUCAAUACAAUCUGAAAUGAUAUAUAUAUAUAUAUAUUUAUAAUUGAGUUAGAAUGCUUUUACAAGUAUUACCUCUAUGGUGCUAUUAGGUUUUUAGCUGUUGGAUCUACUUCUUAAUUAUUAAUAGCUCUUGGAUCGAACACUACUUCUUAAUUAUAUAUAUGAGUACGUCUUCCAUACUUUCGAAAGUACGGAGAUCUCCGUGCUUGUAAAUUAUUUUUGAUAAUAAGACAUCCGAUUCGACGAUCGGCUGCAUUAAAUAUAAGUUACCCUAUUGGAACUGUUUAGAAACCAAAAUUUAUAAUUUUUUAACAUCAUUUACCAAGCGAUCAAAAGGACUCAAAAAUGAUUUUUUUAAUGGCCGCGUUAUGACACGUUUUUAAGUUCAACGGUGUAGAAGUAUCCAAAUUACAUAAAAAUUUAAUAGAAAAUUCUACAUAACAUUAAUAACAAGAUCAAUACUUCCGAUUUAAAAUUUGAGUCAUUUAUCACUAUUUUUUAUGAGAUUUUCAUUUUCAGCCGUUCAUUUUGAGCCUACUCGUUCACUAAACAAACGAAGUCAGAAAAUUAUGAAAUUUAGUUUUUAGAUAGUUACAAUAGCGUAGAUCAUGUUUAACGGAACUGAUCGCCGAAUCGGAUGUCCCAUCAUCAAAAACAACUUACAAGCACGGAGGCCUCCGUACUUUCAAAAACAUAGAAGCCUAGCUAUAUAUAUAUAUAUAUAUAUAUAAAAUUGAGCUCCUAUGCUUUUAAAAGUACAAAGUUAUUGGUGCUUGUAGAUUUUUGGCCAUUGGAUUGAGGGAUGUGCGGUUAUAAUGAUGUGGGCCCCCUAGGGUUGAGUGUUUGUUGAAUAGUAUAAUCUAACGGUUGAAAAUGAUCAAAGGCGUAGAUCUAACGGUAAAAAUUUACAAGCAUAAAGUGCUUGGUGUUUUUACACGCACCAUACCCGGACUCUAUAUAUAUAUAUAUACACCGUUAAACUACCAAGUAUUUCAUGCCGGCCGUUAAAAAUUGUCAAUUUUGUGAGCUGUUGAUCGUAAGGUAAAUGAUGUCGAAAAAUUAUAAAAUUUGAUUUCUAGAAGUUUUAAAUGCUCUAGAUAAUGUUUAAUGGUGUGGAUCAUCAAUUCAGAAGCUCUAUUAUCGAAAACAACUUAUGAGUACGAGGGCGAUCAUACUCAUAAUAGUAUAGUAGCCGGACUCAUAUAUUAGUAAGGCUACUAUACUCUUAUGAGUAUUGGACCCUUCAUACUCAUAAGUUGUUUUCGAUGAUGGGGUUUCCGAAUCGACGAUCCACUCUAUUAAAUAUGAUCUAGAGUAUUUGAAACUUCUAAAAAAUAAAUUUCGUAAUUUUUCGAAAGCAUAAUAAAGUCCAUCAAACGGGCAUAAAAUAAACGGUCAAAAUCGAACGACGUUCUAAACAUGGAUAAUCGGAUUCUUCAAUUUAAGAUCGAAUUUAUUGAUCUUUAUCUAGAUAGUGAAUAGAAUUUUCUAACAAAAAUUCAGCCUAUUCCAAUUCUUUUACACCGUUAAACUACCAAGUAUCCCAUACCGGCCGUUAAAAAUUGUCAAUUUUGUGUGCUUUUGAUCGUAAGGUAAAUGAUGUUGAAAAAUUAUGAAAUUUGAUUUCUAAAAAUUUUAUAUGCUCUAGAUAAUAUUUAACGGUGUGGAUCGUCAAUUCGGAAGCUCUAUCAUCGAAAACAACUUAUGAGUACGAGGGCGAUCGUACUCAUAAUAGUAUAGUAGCCGGACUCUCUCUCUCUCUCUCUCUAUAUAUAUAUAUAUAGAAUUAGGCUACUAUACUAUCUAUAGUACCGGAGCUCCGGUACUAUAGUCUUGUUUUCGAUCUUAAGGUGUUCAAAUUAACUAUCCACACCGUUAAAUAUGAUUUAGGGUAUAUGAAGUUCUUAGGAAUAAAAUUUUAGUUUUCUUCAACAUCGUUUAUUUAGUAAAUAAAUUAUGUCAAAAUGGAUGGCGAAAAUUGAAUAAUUUUUUAAAUUUGAGCAUAGAACUUUUAAAUUCAAGAUCAAGAAUGUUAACCUUAAUCUAGAUUGUUUAAAGUAUUUUCUAUCAAAAUUUGAAGAAAUUUAGAUUCUUCUACACCGUUAAACUCCAAACUCGCUAUAGUAGUCAUUAAAAAUUGACAAUUUUGAAAUGGUUUGAUCAUAAAGUAAACUAUAUCGAAAAAAUAUAAAAUUUUAUUUCUAAAAACUUUAAAUACUCUAGAUCAGUUUUAACGGUGUGGAUCGUUGAUUUGAACACCUUAAGAUCGAAAACAAGAAAAUAGUACCGGAGUCCCGGUACUAUAGAUAGUAUAGGAGACCAGCUCUAUAUAUAUAUAUAUAUAUAUAUAUAAUUGAGCUCCUAUGCUUUUAAAAGUAUCAAGUCAUUUGUGCUUAUAAGUUUUUAGCCCUUGGAUUAAUAAAUGUGCGGUUAGGAUGAUGUGGGCCCCCUUGGGUUGAGUGGAUGGUUGAUUGAAUAGUAUAAUCUAACGGGUGAAAAUGAUCAAAGGCGUAGAUCUAACGGUACAAAAUUCACAAGCACCAAGUGCUUGGUACUUUUACAAGCACCGUAGCCGGACUAUAUAUAUAUAUAUAGUUGAGCUAGAAUACUAUUGGUAGCAAGCGAGCUCCAUUGCCACCCAUUUAUUUUCGAUGAUGGAGCCUCCAAAUCGGCGAUCGACACCGUUGAAUAUAAUCUAUAGCAUUUGAAGUAUCUAGAAACCAAAUUUCAAAUCUUUUCGACAUUAUUAACCUAAUGAUCAAAGGGUUUCAAAAUUUAUAAUUUUAAUGGUUGCUAUGAGGUAUUUUCUCGUUUAACGGUGUAAAGAUAUUCAAAUCAAUUGAAUUUUAGUUAGAAAAUUCUUUAAACUAUUUAGAACAAGAUCUAUACUCUCGAUCUUGAUUAUAAGAUUCCUAUCAUCAAUUUUUAAAGAAUAUUCAUUUUCAGCCGUUCAUUUUGUGUCCACUUGAUGGACAAGAGAACAAUAUCGGAAAAGUAUGAAUUUGAUUUCUAGAUGCUUCAAGUGGUAUAAGUCAUGUUCAAUGAUGCCGAUCGUCGAUUCGGAGGCUCCAUCAUCGAAAACAAAUGGGUGGCAACGAAGCUCGUUUGCUAUCGAUAGCAUUCUACCUCAACUAUAUAUAUAUAGCAGGACUGCUGUGCUCUCAGGAGUACGGAGUCCUCCGCGCUCCUGAGCCGUUUUCGAUGAUGAAAUUUUCAAAUCGACGAUCGGGUUUGCUAGACUUAAUCUAGCGUAUUUGAAGUUUCUAGAAAAUAAUUUCUGCGAUUUUUUGAUAUCAUUUACCUAGCAAUCAAAGAAUUCAAAAUCAAUAUUUUUUAAUGGUUGAUAUCUGCCGUUUUCAAAUUUAACGGUAUAGAAGUAUUCAAAUCAGAUGAAAUUUUAAUACAAAAUUUUUUAUACUAUCUAUAACAAGAUCAAUAUUUCUGAUCGGAAAUUUUAGUGCUGUAUCACCACUUUUUAUAGAAUUUUUAUUUUCAACCGUUAAAAAUUAUUGAUUUUGAAUCUUUUUGAUUGCUAGAUAAAUGAUAUUGAAAAAUCGCAAAAAUUAUUUUCUAGAAACUUCAAAUACGCUAGAUUAAGUCUAACGGAACCGAUCGUCGAUUCGAAAAUUUCAUUAUCAAAAACGGCACAAGAGCACGGAAGUCUCCGUGCUCCUGAGAGCACAGCAGUCCUACUCUAUAUAUAUAUUGAUUAGAAAAGAACUUAUACAUCUCAUACCCAACUUUGCAGCUGAAGUCUGCUGCACCUAGUUCUGGAGAAAGAACAAAAAUAUUUUAAAUAAGAUUUCUAUUCUUUCCAAAGAUAUCGAACCGACAAGCUCCAUUUUCGAAUCAUGCAGCAUAUAUACUUGAGCAUCUGACCAUAGCAAAAACGAUGAACUUGUGCUCAAAAAUAUUACAAAAAUUCUGAUAAAGGCUUAAGAAAAAGGCUUAACGUUGGCAAUAAAUUCUACAACUUAAUUUCAAUUAAGAUGAUUUUACAUCUUUCCUCAAUCACUCUCUGCAAGCAAAAUAUCCAUUGUGCAUGCAUUUUUUGGUAUUUUUUACGUGAGACCCUGAUAAUCUUAUAUAUAAGAUAUAAUAGAGCUAAAACUUUUAAUUCGGUUUAAAUAUUUUGGAUGGUGGAUAGACCCAAAGUGUUAAAAGAGUUAAGCAUGCUAGGACGGGAGUAGUCCUAGAAUAGAUAACCUCCUGGUAAGUGGGGCGUCACAUUUUAUAUGCUACAUUGCUAUCUAGAAAUUAUAGAAAAAAGAUACUUCUAAUAAAACAUAUAUAAAAAGGCUUUUUUCUGCAUUUGAUCCUCUCAAAAAAAUUAUUUUCACAAAUAGCCCCAUCAAAUUUUAUAAUCGCUAUUUUAGCCCUAUCCCUACCACGAGCAAGAAUGGUGGAUGUGGAAUUAUUUGAACACGAUAAAUAAUUCACCAUGUCUAGUGUAUUAUAUUACUUGCGCGCGGGGUCAAUAUAUUCACUGAACAUAGUGAACCAUUCAAAUUAUUUAGACUCGGUGAAUGAAUUAUCAUGUUCAACUUAUUCCACAUCCCCACCCCUGCUCACAUGGCGCUGACGUAACUGCGUGGCGGGGAUAUGACCAAAAUUGUAAUUAUAAAAUUAGUAGGGCUAUUUGUAAAAAAAAGCCUUUUUGAGGGUGCCAAAUGCAAAAAAAAAAAAAAAAAAAAAAAAAAAAAAAAAAAAAAACCCUAUAUAAAACAUGUUUUUAAAGUAAAAAACAUAUAUAUAGUACAUGAAUGUUGCAUGACACAAUUAAUAGUUAGGUAUAUUAGGAGGCCUAAUGAGACAAUUUGCAAAGUAAGUUACUUUGUAAAAAAACUUUUGUUUAAAUUAAUGUAAUAACGUACCAGUUAUGGAACAAUAAACAUUUUUUACACCUCCACUUUGCGGUCAACGUGCAAGAAAUUAAUGGAAAGGUAUCUUAAUUAAUUAUUGGAUGAGUUAAAAUUUUGUUUUACAUGGCCAAAAAAAAAGAAAAAAAAUAGUCGCUUUCUUAACUAUAUCUAAUUGCGUACGUAUGUGUUUGAGUUAUAUAAAUUGUUCUUCCAUUUAGAUUAAGAAUGAAUACGUACACCUUAUCCUUCAUUAUCACACUUUCGGUACAACUCAUCCUUCUUAAUUUAAACCAUGAAAUUAAUCUUAUGAUGAAGCAACCCUCCGUGAAUAAAUAAGUCACUAAUUCUUGAGUGCAUGGUUUAGUCAAAAUCAUUUCCAAAUGGCUAUAAUAGAAAGAGCCACCUUAAAAAUAAAUAAAUAAAUCAUCAUGGUUGAGUUACAACUCACAAAUAAUAAUUGCGUUGGGCAUCUUGGUUGAGUUACAACUCAAAAAAAAUAAAGUAAAAUAAAAUAAAACAAUCAUGUUGAAUGUCUCGAUUGAGUAACAACUCUAAAAUAACAACAUAGAGUCGGUGAUCUUCGUUACCAUUUUUUUAAGGUUAUAAAGAGCAAUAACAUUAUAUGUUAAUUGCGUGCGUUGGGUGUAUUGGUUGAGUUACAACUCAAAAAAAAAGAAAUAAAACAAUCAUGUUGGAUUUCUUGAUUGAGUAACAACUCAAAAGUAACAACAUAAAGUCGAUGAUCUUGAUUAAACAUUUUUUUUUUAAGGUUAUAAAUUAAUUAAGAGCAACAAAAUUGUAUGUUUACUCCUACAAAGUUUUAGUUAUCAAAUUUAUUACUCCAAGAUAGCAUAGUUUGCAAAUAUAUCCCUCUAUACUAGUAAACCAAUUAAAGUUGACUUUUUUAAAGGCUAAAUUACAGCAAACCUUCCUGUCAAAACUCAAUUUUUCACUUUUUUUAUCAUGUCAUUUAAAAGCAUAUAUACUUUGCCCCUUUAUAAAAUAAAAAAUGUUCACUUCACCUCUCUGCCGUCAGUGAUCCGUUAAAGUUUCGUUAUAAAAUAUUUUUUAUGCCAAAAAUAUCCUCUGCCCUCUUUACUGUGCUUUGCUCUCCUCCGCCUCGCCGCCUCGCCCUCCUCCACUGCCUCGGCCUCGCACACAUCCCCGUCCGUACCCACAACGAUUUCCUCCCUACUGUCGCCAAAAUGGAGAGGCGAUAAGGGUGCGGAAGGAGAAGAGAAGCAGGUGGAGAAAAAAAUGGAGACGAACCGCGGCCGAUCGAGGCAGCGGAUGAGCAAGAUGAGGGAGGAGACGAAAAUGGUGAAGGAAAAAAUGGUCAUUUUGUCAUCACAGCUCACACCAUACCUCUCGUGAACAUUUUUUUAUUUUACAAGGAGACAAAGUGUAGGUUUUUAAAUGACAGGGAGGAAAGUGAAAAAUUGGAUUUUAACAGGAGGAUUUUAUAUAAUUUAACCUUUUUAGAAUACAAAGUAACGAUUUCAUCCUUAAAUAAAUAUCUUUUUAAUUAUAUUUGAAAUUAUGUGUCAAUUUCAAUAUUUUUAUUCUAACUUUUAUGUCACUCAAUGUAAAUCAUAAACUAUAGUUCUACAAAAGUGUUUAAAGCGGUUGUCUUUUUAUAAGGGAUAACGUUUCAAAUGGUGAAAAUAACGUUUCAAACGGUGAAAAACAAUCGGUGGUAUUUAAUAUGUAAAAAUAAAUUUAUAUAUUUUGAAGCUUUAAAGAGAGAUACAUUUGAUAAUUAAAACUUUACAAUAACUUAUCUCCAANAUAUAUAUAUAUAUAUAUAUAUAUAUAUAUAUAUAUAUAUAUAUAUAUAUAUAUAUAUAUAUAUAUAUAGACCGGCUGAGAUGCUUCUAAUAGCACCAAGUACUUGGUGAUGCUAAGUUUUCCACCGUUAGAUUUAUCAUUUUGAUUAUUUUUAACCGUUAAAUCAUAUUAUUCAACCAAUCACCCACUCAACUCUAAUGAACUAUUAUUUUUCUAACUAGAGACUCCUAUCAUCCUAACUGCAUAUCCCUUCAUCUAGCGAUCGAAAUUUUAUGAAUACAAAUGAGUAUAUGCUUAUAAGAGUAUAGUAACCUUACUCUAUAUAUAUAUAACCUUGCAAAAACAAAAAUAAAAAAGCUAAAUUACAGAAAACCCUCUUGUCAAAAUCCGAUUUUUCACUUUCCCUUCCUGUCAUUUAAAAACCUACACUUUACCCCUUGUAAAAUAAAAAAUAUUCACAGAGGGAGUACGAUGUGAACUGCAAUGAUAAAAUAACUAUUUUGCCCCUUACUAUAUUCACAGGAGAGAAGGCUGAGGGUAUUUUUAGCAUAAAAAAAUAUAUAAUAAUAUUUUAUAAACGAAAUCCUAACAGAUUACUAACUGCAGGGGGCGAAGUGAAUAUUUUUUAUUUUACAAGAGGGCAAAGUGUAGGUUUUUAAAUGACAGAAGGCAUAAGUAAAUUUUGACAGGGGGUUUUAUGUAAUUUAGUCAAAUAAAAACAUAUAGAUGCCCUAGUGUGAAUGGUGUGAGGACAAAAAAGUAAGGGACUAAAAAGCAAAGAUAGAAAGCCUAUAAAUAUACAUAAAGCUAUCCUGGUCACAUGGAUUGGUGUUCUUCUCCUAAUAAAAAAGUUACUUGAUAAAGUUUAAACCUUAUUAAUUUAUUUAGAAUAAUAAUAUAGAAGUAAUGCUUUAUUAGGAAGGACAUAGCUUUACGAAGGACUAAAUGUCAUUGUCUUUAGCUAUCGCCACGGUGCACUUGUUCAUAUUUGCUUGUUGUUUUUCAUGCGAUCUUAUUUUGAGAGAUAAUAAUAAUAAUAAUAAUAAUAAUAAUAAUAAUAAAAUCAUAAAAUCGUGUAAUUUGAUUUUUAGAAAGUUCGAAACAAUCUAGAUAAUAUUUGAUGGAAUCGAUCGUCAAUUUAGAUGCUCCUUUUAAAAAAAAAAAAAUGAAAGUAAAUUAACAUGCUUACUCCUAGAAGCAUUUUUAUGCCUAAUGAUACAUCUCAUAUGCAUUCAAAAUGGGUCCUAAAGAAGACAAUUUAAUUUCCUCUGUAAGUCUCUUCUUUAUAACGAAAAUUAAAUUAAAAUUAAAUUUCAAUAAAAAACACUAAAAUUGAUCAUUAAUCUUUCGAAUGUAAGCAUUUGAUUUUGAAUUAUACAGGUGUUUCAUUGUGAAAGUAACAACAUUACUAUCACAUUAUUAGUGUCAAAUAUUUAUUUCAGAUUUAAAAUAUGAGGACAACAAAAGAGAAAUUUAUCAAAGUUUAGGAACUAUCAAUGUAUUUUAGUUAAUAAUAUUUAUCUAAAAGAGCACAUCACUAAUAUACUACUAAUAUACUAGCAUCUUUUCUUUUCUUUUCUUUUCUUUUCUUUUCUUUUUCUUUUUUUUUGUGGGGCUUUUAAUAUGACAUGGCAAAUCACAAAAGGAAAGGAAAUGAAAUGGGAAAGACAUUCAGCACCCACUACCUCCCUAUGGAUUUUAUUUUAUCUUUAAAAAAAAUAAUGCAAAUCUUACACUUUUUUUUAAUCCAAAGUUCUUUAUUAAGCCUUUAUUUUUAUCAAAAAAAAAAAUUAAAAAAAUUAAAAAUUUAAAGAGUUUUAAAAUCCUAGAGUGAAGAGCUGAAACACUUACAUCCCUUUUCGGACGUACCAAUAGCAUUUAUCUUUAAAAUUAUUAUUCAAGUUUAAAAAUGAGAUAAAAUUAUCUGCACAACACAAUUCUGUGACAAAAGAACAACACCAGAGAGGGUUAUGUGACAUCCCAAUAGUUUCGUCGCAUCAAACGGAAAAGAAAUUAUACAUGAGAAUGUAAGGAUCAUGAAUUUUAAUACUAAUAACUGAUUAUUACUGCUAGCAGGUUAGGUCAUCACAUUUGGUGCCAAAUUGCCAGUCGACAAUAUGAGAUAGAACACACAUCGUGCAGUGAUUUUGGACUGGAAAAUGAAACCUAACGAUAAUACUCAUAACUAAACUUAAACAUUUUGGACCAGCAAAUUGUUAGUAAGUACUUGUAAGCUGAGUCAUUACAAUUUAUAUAAAACAAAAAUAAAUUGUUCAAGUAUUCCUAUAUUAGCUGAUCUCAAAUUGCUCUAAAGGUUAGAUAGGUGGAAAGCUUUUUUGCUGUCAUUUAUUGAACACCAGAAGAACAGAAUUAGUACUGCACAAGCAAAUCUAACAAGAUACUAAUUCCCAUAUUAUAAUAUAUUGAUCCUAAACCCCAGAGGCCACCACAAAAUUAGUGGAAUCCCUUGCUUUCCAACUUUGAUAGUGGGCCAAAAACAAAUUCCUCAACAAUGAACACAAUGCAUAUAUAUAUACAAGUUGGUUACUCCAUUAUUUGCUUCAUUGAACAUACCAUUCCUUGUUAAAUUCCCCAACCACCCCCCCUUUCUCCAGCUACUCACACAAGAGGAACCAGCCACUGAGAAGUUGAGGAUCUUCAGAUUUCAGGUGUUGUAAUGUUGAUAGAUACAUUCCCUUGGUUGAGAUUUUGCCCUGUUUUUUUUGUGUUGGUGUUCUUUUUUGGGCCAUUUGCUACUGAAUUAUCACAAAUUGCACUAACUUUUAGAAUAACUUCAUCUCUGUCUAAUUGGCUCAUCAUUCUGAUCACCAUUCUGCAACUCAAGAGUAAAGUUAGGCUUUUUUUCUCAACUCCUUCCACCUUUUACUAAUUAAUUUGAAUUCCUAAGUAGGUUGCCAACAUGAAGAACAUGCUCCCUCUUUCUCUCUCUAUACAAUAUCAGUGAGAACAACCAACCCCUCUCACCCUCUUUCUCUCUUAAUUGUUUUUCUUUUGCUAUGACAUUUUGAUACUAAGCCAAUCAGUCACCUUCUCUUCCCAAUUCCACUCUAAGAAAAAGUCCGAAUCAAAUUUAAAUUUGAUUUUAUGUUUUUAACCUUUUUUUUGGGCUUAUUGUGUGUACAGGGAGGGCUUAGGAUGGGGGGAAAUGAAACUGGGGAGAGCACAACAACAUCAACAGCAACAGCAACAACAACAACAAGAGAGGUGAAGUAUCAGAAGAGCUACUUUGAUGUUUUGGGGAUCUGUUGCCCUUCAGAAGUGCCCCUAGUAGAGAAAAUAUUGAGGCCAUUAGAAGGGGUUCAGAAGGUCUCAGUGAUAGUUCCUUCAAAGACUGUUAUAGUUGUGCAUGAUGGCAGCCUCAUCUCCCCUGUUCAGAUUGGUAUGCAUGAAUCUCUCUCUUGUUCAGUCUGGGGUCUUCUUUAUCUGUCUAAAGAGCUCAAGUUGGCUUGUUAGUUAAGUUUUACUGCACAAGAAGUUAACCUAAAAAAUAAAAAGAAAAAAGAAAAAAGGGGGAGAGAGAGAGAGAGAGAAAGUGAGAAGUUUGAGUAAUUUUUGUAUUUGGUCAGUUAUAUCCAUCAAAUCGAUCUUUCCAGUAACAUAGUAUCAAACCAAGUUCUAAGAUCCACGGAUCCAAAUAUUAACAAUAUUUAGUUAUAAUGUUUAGCAUGGCCGAUGUGAUCUCCAGCGUGCAAGUGAGCAUGAAUGUUAAGACUAUUCUCAGGCAUUUCCUAUCAGAUUAAUUUGUUUGCUGACCGAAAAUAGCUCCCGAGAGGCUUCCCUACUCAAAAAGUAGAAGCCAAUUAGCAACCAAAAAAGAUUCGGGUUCAAAAAAUUACAAGCGACCCUAAAAGAGCUCACACUAAUCAAAAUAACAUUUCUACAGAAACUCAAGCCACACCAAAAGAAAAAAUAGUCCCAAGACAACCAAACAAGCUUUUUUAUGUUAUUCAAUGAGGCUUUGGUUUGGAGGUCUCCAAAGUAGAAGAAUUUGGUUAAGGCUCUCUAGAGGAAAAGAUCAUCAAAUAAUUAAAUAUUUGGUUUUUUUGAUGAACCUCACUGUUGGGACCAAACAAGCACCACAAAGACCUCUAACUGCACCAAAAGCUUGAUUUUUUGAAAGCUACUGGACCUGCACAUUUAAGUUUGGCAGAUGUUACAACUUAUUUAAUCAUUAGGUAGUCAUUUUCCAGGGCUCUAUAAUUAAUUUUGAAGAGAAAAAAAAUUAAGUGGGAAGAGGGGGUAGAUGAAGAGCAUUAAUUGAAAUCUAAAAAUAUCCUUGGUUAUAUGGUCUCUCUCUCUAUUCUUGACUAUUGGCUAAGUUGCCUGAAUCUUUUACCUGCAGUGUUUCACUUGAAUUGAUGUUCUAAACAGUGUAAUCCAUAAAAAUGAAUUGUAAUAUGCACUGCUUAGUAGAUCGGCAUUUGAAUCCAUGAAUCACCCUUUGAUCUGAUUUUAACUUUCAUCAGUCAAGGCUCUAAACCAAGCCAGGCUCGAAGCCUCGAUUCGAGCUUACGGGGGCGGCAGAAUCAUCAACAAAUGGCCGAGCCCGUAUAUAAUUGCGAGCGGUCUGCUGCUUCUCGUCUCGCUGUUCAAGCGAUUCUUCCGUCCCCUGCAAUGGCUAGCCUUGGCAGCAGUCGUGGUCGGGCUGCCGCCGAUAGUAUUGAGAAGCAUCGCCGCCAUUCGGAGAUUAACUCUGGAUAUCAACAUUCUCUUACUGAUUGCAGGUACAGGACCUCAUCCUUUGAUUCCCCUUAAAGGCUUUAUGAUGACAUCUUAAGUGCAAUUUGGUACUACUUAUCUUCUAAUAAAAGAACACAUUCCAAAGAACAAUGAAAAGCAUAGGAUUCUAUUUCUAGGGAUCUAGGGGUGCAUAAAUUGCUCAGGUUAAGCACAAACAAGACAAUUCCCCAUUGCACUUUAGCUCCGGUCUCAAUUACCCCCACUGCAUAAAAGAAAUCGCAUCAAUUACCCUUCCACAUUUUAUCAUUAUCUCAAACAGGUCCAGGUAUUUACGAUAAUUGUUGAAUUCAGUUAUAAAACUUUGUAAAAAGAAAUGUGCAGUUAAAGUUAUCUAUCAGUAAUGCAGUAGAAUCUUAUAAAAUGAAUAAAUUUCUCAAUAAACUAUCAAUUUUGAUAGUAUUAGUAAAAUAAUAGAUAUCCUUUAUCUAGAUUUUUUUAUAUAAUUUUUAAGUUAUAAAUUGGAUAUAUGUUGAGAUACAGAACAAUGUGAUAUCCCAGUUCGUUUUAGUAAAGUUUUAUAGCCUAAUUUCCGAAUUGUUUAAAUUUUUUAGAUCUAUUUAAGAUGAUAAUCAAGCGUAGGGUGACAUUUUAAUGUGGUGGGGUAAUUAAGACAAGCACUAAAAUGCAAUGAGGCUUUUUAUUAUUUACCCAUGUUUUUUCCACAAUAAAUGAUGGGAAAACUUCAAAAAACCCCCCUGUGGUUUGGUAGUUUCUCACUUUGUCCCCCUGUGGUUUAAAGUGUAUUAAUUUGCCCCCCUGUGGUUUCGUUUUUAUCUUUUCGGUAGCUUUUUCGUUAAUAUUUCAUUAAAUUAUAUACAAAAAACUUCAGAUACCCAUCUAGAUUUAUCAAAUAUUCACUUUAGUACCCUUUAAUUUUAACUUUAUCACUGAUUUAAGAAAAAAAAAUAAUGAAAUUGAUAAGAAAAAGAGAAAAAAGAAACCACAGGGGGGCAAAUUGAUACAUUUUAAACCACAGGGGGGCAAAGUGAGAAACUAUGAAACCACAGGGGGGUUUUUUGAAGUUUUCCCAUAAAUGAUUAAACACAUCAUGCACUUUUCUUAUUUUCCUUCUAAGAAAAAUAAUUAUUUAGAAGGUACUAAAGAUGCUAUUAAGAUUAUGGUAUUGGAGAGCAAGGUUGUCAUUAGCUCCAUAAUGUUAAAGUUAAUGAUUCUGCAACAAAAAUAAAGAAUUCCAAGUUGAGCAUAGUAGGAAUCACUACAAACACAAGUCACAAUUAAGGGUGGACCAAUCCAUGAUGCAAAAAGAGAUCACUUUUACUUUUUUUUUAAAUGCAAAAAAUGUAGAAAAACCUAGUAUUGCACUCUUAACAUAAUUAAGAAAGGGGGAUAAUCUUAAUCUCAGGUGAGAUUCAUACUUUUAAAAUCUAAAACCUAUAAAAAAUAUAUAUAUAUAUCAAGUUUCAUAUCCAACUUAAACCUAAAAAACCCGAAUUCGACAGAACUAUAAGAUCCGUGUCAAGAUCCGAACCUAAUUAGUGGUUAGCUAUGAGAUCCAUGUUAGGAUCAAACCUAAUUGCACAUCAUCCUCUUAAGUUAUUUUUCUUAAAGUAUGAUUAAAUAACCUUGUAAAUGGAACGCAUUAUCCUAAACAAUCAUGACUAUACGGGUUUUAUAGCUGAUUAAAAAGAAAAUGUUUGUGCAACAAAAGUCAUCAUUUGAUCAAAUUUUUAUUAACUAAAUAUUUUGUAAGAUCAUAUAACUAGCAGGGAUACAAUAGUAGCCAAAACUCGUAAGACGAAUACCUUGGGGGGUUAGGUCUCGGAAAGCCAACCAAGAAAUCUGAGGUUCAAAGUUUGAAACUUACUGUACCUAGCGCGGUUGGCUAAGGGCUUGAUGGUCGGUACCCAAGGUUCCAAGUUCGAAGCUUAGUUGCUUCACAUUUCUAACUACAUUUAUUUCUAAAAUAAAAAGAAAAUAAAAGAAGCAGUAGCUUGCAAUCUUUAAUAAGCUGUAGAAUGUUGUGUCAGGUGUGGGACUCACAGACAAGUCUAAAAAAAAUAAAUAAAAGUGAAGUAGCUCCAAGCUGGAGAACUACACCACUUAGGGGGGGCUCCCAAUUGCUCUAUCUGCGAUUUUCCUAUCUCCUAUAUUGAAAUUUUUUUUUAUACUUUUUUCACUUUACUAGAUGAAAUUUCAACAUGAAAUCAUAGUCUUUCAAUCGAAGAAAAAAAUUACCUUAGUCUUCCAUUUCUAGACCGUUCUAUUCCAGUAGUUCGACCGUCAAAUUUUAUUUGUUUUGCUAUUUUCAGAAUACGGAAUGUGACUUACUAUUAUUGAUCUAAUUGAUAAUACAUGGAAUGGACCUGUUAUCUCUAUCAAGAUGAGCUCAUGAUAUGCUCAGGUUCAUGGAAUAACUGUCAAUGGGUGCCUGUCAUUUGUGAUUUGCUUGCCUUGGUGGAAUGGGAAUAGUCCAACCUUUAAAGUUAUAAUACAUAUAUAGAGAGAGAGAGAGACCACAUGAGACACUUCUAAUAGCACCAAGCAUAUGGUGCUUUUUCGCCAUUAAAUUUACCCUUUGAUCAAUUCUAUCUUUUAAAUCAUGCUAUACCAACCAACAAUCAAACCCUAGAAGACCACUAUCAUUUCAACCCUAUAAUUUUUCACCCAAUAGUUAUAAAUUUGGUAGUAAAAAGACACGAAUACUAUUAAAAAAUAUUCUAAGUCAAUUAUAUAUAUCACCUUUUGGAGUGCUCAACUUGAGUUUUAUUAAAGAGGGUUUGUUCCCUCUAUAUAGAUACUGUGGUUAAGUACCACAACGUAAUUUCCCAACACCAAGAGGUUUGGAUUCCAAUAUUCCAACAUGUUGAAAGCACAAAAUGAUUUUAUUUUCUCUUUUUUAUUUCUUGGUAUGGAAUAAUUAACAUAAGGUGUGGCAUAACUAUCAACUGCACUAGCAGUAAAGGACAAAGUCUGAGAGAUGCUUACCCUACUUGCGUGAAUAAUUUUAGUGUAAAAAUGUACUGAGAUCCCCUCAACUAUUAGUCAUUUUGAUCUUUAGAUUAUUUUUCCAAAUUCGGCUUUAUAUGCAAUAAAAUUAAGGAUUGAUGACAUCUAAAUUCCAUCUGCUAAAAUGUAAUCUAAACUUUUAAAUUCAACAAAAUGAUUGUUAACUUUAGUAAAUUUUUAGAUUAAUCAAUAAAAAUAACUUAACCAAAGAAAUUAAAUAUUGAAGGGACAUAAAAAAAAAAAAGAAAAUAGUUGAGGGGUCUCUGUACAUUUUUAUCUCAUAAUAAUUCAUAUCUUUCAAACUUUCACUUCCACAUAUAUUGCCAUGUGAUAAAGAUUAAUUGUUUAUUUGAUUUGCUUCAUUUUUUUGGGUCCUAGUAAGAGAUAAAUUUUUUAAAGUUAAGAUUAAAUUAUGGUUUUUCUUGUUUCUUAAAUUAUGUGUAUUUGGCAGUGGGUGGAGCAAUUGCUCUCAGGGACUACUCAGAAGCAGGGUUUAUUGUGUUUCUCUUUGCCACAGCUGAAUGGUUGGAAACAGUGGCAAGUCACAAGGUCUCUAUCAAUCUCUCUCCCUCUCUCUCUCAAUCGCACACACACACACACACACACUUUUAAUUUCUUUUUUUUUUUUUGGUAAAAAUGUAUGGAGACCCUCUCAACUAUAGGCAGUUCUGAAAGUGACCCCCAACUUCAAUUUUUCUAAUUUACACCCCCUUUAAUUUUUUUUUUUCAAUUGAAUUACUCUAGUUAUUUAACUUAAAAAUCUUGUUAAAUUUAAUGGCUUAAUUAGCUAUUACCAGUUGAUUAAUCAAGCUUUAUUCCUCACACUCUUCUAAGGCCUAGUUUGAUAACAUAGUAACUAAAAGUGCAAGAGCACUUUUAAUCUUUUUUCCUCUACAGGCUUCUCCAUCAGCCGUUUACUCUAAUAAAAGAUUCAGCUAGCAUAAAACAAUAAUUUGACAGGAAGUAAAAAGCCUAUACUUGAGCUUUUAAACUAAUCAGUUGUUUUAUAAUAAUAGGCACAUUAAUGUAGAGACUAUCAACUGUAGAGUCAGUAAAACCAAUCUACACAAUAUAAGAAUUUUUUUAUUAAUAUUCUUAAAAAUUAUUAUAAUUAUAAAAAUAGUUCUUUAAAAAAAUUAUUUAUAAAACUAGUCUUACACAAUAAAUGAAUUACUGAUUUCUAAAUGCGAUAAAUUAUCCACCGCUUUCUAUAAAAUAUUAAAAUUACUUUUAGCGUUUAAUGUCAUACAUCUUAUUUUUUGUAGUUCGACCAUAAAAAAUAUAGUGUAGAGCUACUAUGCUAUCAGAAGCAUAAAAGGUUUUAUGUUUUCGACUUUUUGACUCUUGGAUCAAAAAUUGUACAGUUGGGAUGAUUGUGGUCCCCCCUAGGAUUGAGGUAGCACUAGGGUGUCAAACGGCCGGGCGGCCGCGAGUCCGCCCGGCCGGCACGAGAGUGGGCGCGGGCCAGGCACGGCACGAGUACUGUAGCGGGCCGUGCCGGCCCGACCCGGCCAGUCAAAUCGGGUCGUGCUGGGCCUUGCUCCUGUGGCUUGAUGGCCCGGCACGGCCGCGGCACGACCCGAGCCUGGCCGUGCCGGGCCUGAGAGUUUACCUUGCCGGCGGCGCGGCAUGACACGCCCGACCCAUGUGGCAGGGUCUUCGAGCCGGGCCCAGGCAUGGACUUGGGUACGACGGCCUUACCCAACUCCCAAGGCCCUGUACUACCCAACUCCCAAUGCAUUGGGAGUUGGGCUUUGGGGCUCUCCCAAGGUCUGUGAUAAUAGAUCCUUGGGAGUUGGUUUGGACCAAAAUCCCUCCAACAGUCAAAUUUUUGAUUGUGGGAAGGGCAUUUUGUUCCAAAAAUUUAAAAUUAAAAUAAUUUAAAAUUUUAAUAUUUUGUAAAUAUAUUUUAAAAUUUUAAUUUUUUAUUGAUAUAUAAUUUUUAAAAAUAAUAUUUUUAUUUUUAUUUUAAAAAAAAAUUAAAAUUUUUUAAAUAAAAUUAAUAAAAUAAAAAAAAGGGCUGGCCCGAAGCCGCCCAGCCAGGCACGGCUAGGGGUGGCAAUCUCAGCUCGCUGUUCGCGAGCCAGCUCGUGUUCGGCUCGAAAUGAGCUCGAGAUCGGCUCGCUCAUUUAGUAAACGAGCCGAACACGAGCCGGAUUUUUCAGCUCUUUAAUAAACGAGCCGAACACGAGCUAGGGUCAGCUCGCUCGCGUUCGGCUCGAUAACAGCUCGAUUUUAUUUAUUUUAUAUUAGUAUAAUUUUUUUAUAUUAUAAUAUAUAUAUAAUUAUAUUUGUAUAUAAAUAUAUAAUACAGAUUAUUAAUUUUAAAAUUUUAGCCAUUCUAAAUGGAUUAUCUUGGGCCUAAUCUUGGUUUGGGCCACGAUGCUAGAGAGAGAGAGACCGACUCAGGAUGCUAUAGAUGGAUUAUCUUGGGCCUUAUCUUGGACCCGACUCAGGAUGUGGAGUCGGGUCCGACGAUGUUACAGAGAGAGACCACAGACCAGCUACCCGAUAGCCGGUUCCAGGUGCGGAUUCGGGCUCGGGAAGCGCUACAGUGAGGAAGCGCGGACCCGUUGCCCGAAACCCCACUCUCCUUUAGAUUACGCCGCCGCCUUGUCCCAUUCUUCACCUUGGAUCCUCCCAUGUCUCACCCAUGUCUCACCGCCGCCUUGUCCCAUUCUUCACCUUGGAUCCUCCCUUGUCCCAUUCUGCGACGAUGCUUCUCGCUCGCAGCGAACUUCGGCAGCGGCAGCGAACUUCGACAACGGCAACAGCAGCGGCAGCAAACUUCGACAGCGGCAGCGGCAGCGAACUUCGACAGCGGCGCUAACGAGCCGAACACGAGCUAGCUCGAUUAAGUUGCGAGCCGAUCACGAGCCGGAGUUUUCGAGCUCGUCACGAGCUCGAGCCGAACACGAGCCGACCUGAAGACGUUCGAGCCGAGCUCGAGCUGGCUCCAGCUCGCUCGAGCUCGACUCGUUUACAGCCCCCUAGGCACGGCCCGUGCAGUGCGGGCCGGGAGGCCGUGCUGAGAACUUUGGCCCGGCACGGCACGGCCCGAUUUUGGGGCCGGGCCGUGCCGGGCUGGCCUCCGGCCCGUUUCGACCCGGGAAAGGGUUGAGUGAUCCCCACAGGGUAAUAGUAUUAAUCCAAAGGUUAAAAAUGAUCAAAGGGGUUAAUCUAAGGGCCAAAAAGUCAGAAGCAUCAGAUCCUCUAUGCUUGCGAUAACAUAGUAGCUCUACUAAAAAAUAUAUAAGGUUGGUGAAAAUAGUGAAUAAUUUAUCGUUUUUAGAAAGUGGUGAAUAAAAAAUUCUAAAAGGUCAAGUUGCCCAAAAAAAAUCCAAUAUAAUCAAAAUCAAGAUCACAUUGAGGGACCACCCCUACAAAGAAUAUCUACGAAAGAAUAUGUAUGAUGCCAUACAAACAGUAGGGGUACUGUAGCCACAUUUAUGCUAUCAAUUGGCCCACUUAAUUUUGCUUGUACAUUCUUGGUAUGGAAUUUAACGGGACCAUCAACCAUAUCUACUGUUUCAUGUGCAUGUCCAUAAAUAAAAGCUUUGCCUAAUAGAGAAUUUCAUCCACUCCACCACUUGGAAUAGGAAUUUCAUAUUAACAGAGUCAAAUUUACUAUUUACAAAUAGAUUUGUCAAACUUGAUCACUUUCCAUUACUUGGAUUUGACCAAAUUUGAUGAAUCUGCGAGGCAAACUUUUUAUCUAACGCAACUGACACAAAGAAAAAUGAGGACAAAUUGUCAAAACAAAACACAAGAUGGGUCUGAGCAAGCUAAGCCUAAAUACACAUUCAUAAAUAGUUUUUUCAUAAUUAGUAAAAGGAGAUAUCAACCUCUAACCUCGCUACUGUUUGGUCUAGCUAGAGCUUCCGCGAAAGUGUUGUAUGCUUAAAAGCUACCCAAACUUCAGAAAUUGAAAAAACACUGCCAACAAAUUCUAGCAUUUGCAACUGGAAGCAAAAUCACAAUGGAGUCAAAAAAGCAACAUAGAAAGUAGUCUCUAUUACAAAGAAAAACACCCUGCACUUCUGAUCUAUUUUAUUUGUUUUAAGAUCUAUUAUUAAAGUUGGACCUUAGAUGUUCCGAACCAACAUAAUAUGCUAACUCAUUCUAGUAAUGUUUUGCAUCUAAAUUCAACAAUUGUUCCAAAUUUUUCAACCAACUUGACAUGGUGGUGAUGUGCAAAGUGAGAUUGAUGCAACAUUUUAUGCCAAAAGAUAACUGAAACAGGUUAAAGGGCAAGGAUUUUCUGUAGUUUAGCCUGCUAAUAAUUUGUCUUAUAUGGAAAAUUUUAGAAAGAAACUUAGUUACCUGCAGGCAACUGCGGGGAUGUCGUCGCUGAUGAGCAUGGCUCCACAGAAGGCCGUGCUGGCCGAGACAGGCCAAGUGGUCGAUGCUCGAGAUGUUAAGAUCGACACGGUCCUGGCAGUCAAAGCUGGGGAAGUGAUCCCAAUCGACGGCGUGGUCGUCGACGGGAGGAGUGAAGUCGACGAGAGAAGCCUAACGGGAGAGUCAUUUCCUGUUGCCAAGCAGCCAAAUUCCCAGGUGUGGGCUGGGACACUCAACAUAAAUGGUACCACCUUAGUAGACUAGGCCCUUCAUUGUCCUUCCAAUGUAUGUGAACUUAAAACACAUAGUUCUUCAUAGGGUUCACAUGGAUAAUUGUAGCUAUGAUCAUUGUUUCUUCUGUAGGAUACAUUAGUGUGAGGACAACAGCAAUGGCUGAGAACUCUGCAGUGGCUAAAAUGGCAAGGCUAGUUGAAGAAGCGCAAAACAGCAGAUCCAAGACGCAGCGAUUGAUCGAUUCCUGCACCAAAUACUACACACCAGGUAAGCGAGUAAUUUUUCUUUAACAUGAUCAUAGUUUUACUAAUAUAGUUGGUUAUCGUACUUAAAGAGUUUGAUUCGAUGAUUAAUCUCUACGUUUGAGAUGAUAAUUAGCAUAACAUAAGCUGUUAUUUCUACCUCAUCUGGACUUACCUAGCAUUGUGUAUGAUUAAACUACUACAAAGAAUAUAAACUAAUCUAUUAAUCAACUGGCCGCAAAGGUUUUGCUGUCAAUUCUCCUCUAGCUCUAAUAUUUUACGAAGCACAUAGUAGUUUCCAAAGGGAAAAUCACACUGUUUAGUUAUUAAAGUAAUCAUAUAUAUUCACUAAGGUCACCAAACUUCAAUUUGUUCCAACAGUCGUAUGAAACUUUAAUUUCAGUUUCAACCACACUUUGUUAAAGAGUUUAACAGAGUGACUGAGACAGAGAUAGAAAUUUGGUACAACAGUCUGAACAAAUCAAAGUUUGGUGAUCUAAGUAAAACUUCGACAUAACUUCCGUGAGACCGUGACCAACAGUAGUUUGACCAUUUCUAAAGAGUAACUAGUUAACAAACUCGCUUUAACAAAUCAAUAAUUUAAAUCUUAAAAUGCCAGACAAGGAAGCCUUCUUGAAGUACUAGUGUGCUUGAAAUAUUUAUAUUCGAUAGUUGAAAAUUGCUGCCUAUGUGUGAUUCUUGGCUCAUAUGUUACCUGUUUCUUUCUGCAGCUGUCGUGUGCCUAGCAGUAGCGGUCGCAUUGGUUCCCUUAAUAACGAGAAUCUGGAGUCACAAAAUAGUCCGGAACCCCAAAGGCUGGUACCAAUUGGCACUGGUCCUCCUAGUGAGCGCGUGCCCCUGUGCUCUGGUGCUCUCAACACCCGUUGCGACCUUUUGUGCACUCCUCAAAGCUGCGAGAACUGGGCUCCUCAUCAAAGGUGGGGAUGUCCUUGAAACUUUGGCGAAGAUCAGCGUAGUAGCCUUUGAUAAAACUGGAACAAUCACAAAAGGAGAGUUUGAUGUUAGAGAGCUCAGAACGGUUCAAAGUGAGGUCUCCCUCCAUACACUUCUUUACUGGUAAGUUUCAAUAUGUAUUAUAGGAUCUUUUAAAAAAAAAAAAAUUGGAGACCAUUUGUCGGUAACCAAGUUGAGAAACUUUUUGAAGUUUGCUGAACUACACUACCAGUUACUGAACCUAUGGUGACAUGUCACCUUAGUCUUCACCAAACUUGCAAUUUGUUGCAACUAUACAAGGAAGCUCUAUUUUUGCUUCAAUUAAAUCACUCCAUUAAACUCCGGUUAGUAUCCCACAGGGAUGACUUGGGCACCUGACUCAAUUGCUAUGUCAUGUUGUGACUGCUGAUUUAACUAGCAAAUAAGCUCUUGAGACGAUGCAGCAUUUGAUCAUAAGAGCCUUGAAAUGAGUUGCUUUGUCAUUGCUGUAUCAUGUUUUAGAGAUGACACGGCAGUUGAAUAUACUGUCCAUCAUCCCUUCAUUGUGGAAUUAAAGUGAGGUUGUGGAGUAACCUGAUAGACUGAAAAACUAAACCUCUUAAGUAUAAAUGGGCCAAAAUCUCAAGAAACACUGAAACAGUAAUUAAUGUUUAGCGCAUCAAUUGUGACAACGUGGAGUGCAGGAUCUAAGAGAAAUUUCACAAGAGAUUCACUGACCAAUGAUAUUAAUUACCAUUAGAAAUUCAUUUGUCAAGAAGAUCUUCCACAGAGAGAUAGUUGUUCAAUUCAUGCAGAUCCAUCUUAUUCAGAAGACAGUCAAAUAGGCCCCAUUAUUCAUGUUCUUCAUCUCUCCUCUUUCCCUUAAAACAAAUUAACAAGAAAAUUAUUUGGCAUUCAAUGAUUUGUUAAGAUUUUAAGUUUUUCAUAUUUUUGUUGAAACUUGGCUGAGUCUCAUAGUUCUUCAGGGUUUCAAGCAUCGAGAGUAAAUCCAGCCACCCAAUGGCAUCUGCACUAGUUGAUUAUGCUCGAUCAAACUCAGUCGAACCGAAACCAGAGAAUGUCGCAGAGUUUCACAUCUAUCCUGGUGAGGGAAUUUAUGGGAAAAUAGAUGGAAAAGAUAUUUAUGUUGGAAACAAAAGAAUUGCAGCCAGAGCAACAUGUGAGACAGGUUGGUAAUUGAUUCAUCUUUGGGUUAGAAAAUUAGUCCCUGAACUUGGACUCAGAUUUCAAUUUCAUUCCUAGAUUCAAUACCAACAAUUAGCCUUUGAAUCAUCUUUAAUCAGUCCAUGAAGUUUGACCCCAAUUUCUAUUUCAUUCUUACAUUUUAUGGUGCUGAUGUUGUGACAAAUCAUCCUUUUUAAGAUGAUAGAUUAGUUGAAGGGCUUAACUGUUCUGCGGGAAAAAUUUCAGGGACUAUAUUGUUGAAAUUGAUACUAUGAAGAUGAAAUUGAAUUGCGGGUCAAGCUUAAGGGGCUAAACUAUAAAUUAACCCUUUUUUAAUAUAUGUUGCAUUGUUUGAUUUAUCCACUGAAUUACCAAAACCUUCAAGAAUUUCUGUAGGAAUGAAAUUCUCAAUAAAGAAAGAAAAUCCAUGCAUAGACAUGAUUUUUCAAGCUAUACCGAGAAUUUCUAAUAGACUGAUCCUCAAAAUUUUAGUUACAAACAUGGAUGAUAAGGAGGGAGGAGUUACCAUUGGAUACGUGAUCUCAGAUUCAGUAUUAGUCGGAGUAUUUACGCUGUCUGACACAUGUCGGACAGGGUCGGCAAAAGCAAUCAACGAUUUGAAAUCUUUAGGCAUCAAGUCGGUAAUGCUUACCGGAGACAGCACUGCAGCAGCUACACAUGCCCAAGAUCAGGUACAUGAUAUUCUUUUGAGAUAUCGAAUACAAAUUGCUAUAAAUUAACUACUUAAAAGAUACAUCCCUGCAAAUAUGAAUUUCAUAUAUACCUUUUACAAACUUGAUUUCUUACGUAUAAAGAAAAUACCCUAUUUGAAAAUUUUCUAUUAAUACUGGAACAACUUUGCCCUCUUCAUUUGGACAAUUCCCCACUUUCAACAUAUAGCUGUUUCUUAUAAGAAACUGCACUUUCAAGCAAUGUAAUUCAAAAAAACUGCAGUAUAUACGAAAAUUCAGAUUUUACAGGGUAUAUAUAUAUGUAAUUAGAUAAUUUUGAAGGGAUAUAUAGAUAUUUAAAAUCCUAUAUUUUGUCAUACAAAGGAUCAUUCAAGUGAAGAAAUGAAAAGAAAUUAAUUCAAAUAAAGAAAGCAACAGCCUACUAUUAUCUCACUUUUAAUAGCAUGAUUAUAAUUAUACAGCUAGAGCAAGCUCUUGAAGAACUUCAUGCAGAGCUUCUACCAGAGGACAAGGUUCAAAUAGUGAGCGAGCUCAAGACAAAAGAAGGGCCCACAUUAAUGGUCGGAGAUGGCAUGAAUGAUGCACCAGCAUUAGCCAUGGCAGACGUGGGAAUCUCGAUGGGGAUAUCAGGUUCAGCUGUAGCAAUGGAAACCAGCCACAUAACCCUAAUGUCUAAUGACAUUGGCAAGAUCCCAAAGGUUAUUAGGCUCGCAAAGAGGACCCAUUUUAAAAUAAUAGAGAACAUUAUCUUCUCAAUUAUUACAAAAGUCGCUAUCGUCGCUCUUGCCUUUGCCGGCCAUCCGCUACUUUGGGCAGCCGUCCUUGCCGAUGUUGGGACAUGCUUGCUUGUGAUCUUGAAUAGCAUGACGCUCCUACGAGAAACUACCACAAAGGGUAAGAAAUGUUGUGGUUCUUCGCAUAAAUCGCUCGUCAAAAGGACUGAUCAUGCAGGUCAUUGUGCCAAUGGUGCAUGUACAACAUCUAGCACUCGUGGGCAAAUUAAAACAUCCAGUUGCAGUGAUAAGCAUAUUUGCCAUGAGAAUGAGAAGGAAGAGGUUGGAAAAAGAGUGUCUCAUAUAGAGUCACCAAAUCAUGUCCACUGUUGUCAUGAACAAGUUAAAGACACAAGAAAUGCGAGCCAAGAAAACUUGAUCUCGAUUAGUUCCGAAUUAGGGCAUCAUGGUGAUGACUGCUUGCAUGAAGAGCACUUAGAGAAGCAUCAUGAUACAUGCAACCAUGUAUUAGACGAUGAUGAUCAUGAUGAUGAUUCGUGGAUAUCUUCAAAGGUUUGUAGAGAGAUAAGCAAUGGCUGUUGUGGAAGUGAAAGAAUGCAAUGUGGUCAAGGAAUAGAGGGUUAUUUGUGCUCGCAAGAGAUCAAGGAGAAGAGAGAGAUUGGUGGUUGCUGCAGGAGCUGCAGACAGGAUUGCAGAGAGAGGGAUGGUUGCUGUGGAAGUGCGAUAGUAAAACUGCCAGAAAUAAUUAUAGAAUAGAAGCAUAUAUUUCAAUUAAAGUUCAUCAUUGGCUUCAAUCAGAGGGCCAAGGUGGAUAUAUAUAUAUAUAUAUAUAUAUAAGUUUUAUUUUUCCUUUCACUUUCUGGGUUUUACAGAAAUAGAAGGGAGGAAAAAAAUCCAAUUUUGGUUUCCACUACAUGUUUUUGCAUGAGAUUGAGAAACACUAACAUGUUAAUCUCAUUGAAUGAAGGAAAAAAUUGGCAUCUUUUUGAGUGCUAUGUAGACAAUUUUGGAGAACACAAAAAGUUGACAGAAAUUGCAAGAUUUUAUGAUUGUUAGGGUACCAGACAGAAAACAUCUACAGAGAAGAACCCUUUGACCUGACUGAUUGGAGAGGACAUUCAAGAGAGGGAACAAACAGCUUUAAGGAUUUCUACAUGAUUACAUUACAGCCAAAUAGAAAGAAGGAUACUCAGUCUAUGGCUUAACUUCUGGAACAAAGGUGUUGAAGGAAAGCUUAUAGGCUGUUUAUUUAUUGGGGCUACAUGUUGAUUCACUUUCUCGAGUGAUAAAUCUUUGUAGUUUUGGAAUUUUGCUUGUAUGGAUGAUUGAUGAACUAAAGUAUACAAAUAACAGUUGAUGGAAAACCAAGAGUUAACAAAUUUCAGGAUGAAAUAAAUGUAAUCGUCGAUGAGGAAAAUGCUAUUCUUGAAACACAUUGAUGCUCUUCCAUUGCUGUUAUGCAAGAGGAAAGGCUAAGUGAAGAUGUCAGCUAACAUCCCAAUCCUGUGUUCUCUAUCCCCAUGCUUUCCUAAGAAACUCAUCACUUGUUUCAAUUUUAUGCUCUGAAGCCUGAUCUGGGGCAUGUACUAUCUUAGCAUAAUUAUGCACCAAGAUGGAAAUUGUAACUUAAAAAUCUCAAGUGAAAAUCUUGUGACGCCAGAAAUAACAUCCCUCUUCCACCUUAGCUAAUGCCUCAUAAGGGAUGAACUUCUGUUUAAUAACCAAGUGGACCAUUUAUUCCUCCUCUUCUAAAAUAUUUUAGAUUAAUGUUAUAGAUUUGAAAGCUUUCCUGUCUUCUAUGUAAGUUCCUACUUUCUUUUCUUUCUUUUUUUUUUGGUGCUCCCAUUCUUAGGCAAAGCUUCAAAUAUUCAUUAGUACAAUCCAUGCAAAGCUCAAGCAUGAAGUAACUCAUUUUUUAAAAAAUAAUAAUAAUCAUACAUUAACCUUCUUGCACAAAUGAAACCCAAAUAAUACAAUUUGAGAAGCCAAACAUACAACUAUAGAUGUACGAAACUUCAACUGAAUAUAAAAUAUUAAAAUACCAUUCUUUGACAGCUUAAUUUUUGGAGAUUACGGUUAAUCUAUAUAGCAUCAGAGCAGAAAGUCCUGAAAUCAAACUGCUAUAAAAUAUAUUGAGUCGAGACAUCAGGAGAAGUCGAAUAUAUAAUACUAAAACACCGAGCCUAAACAUGAGAAGUAUUGAAUAUAUAAUAUUAAAAUAUCGAGUGUUGAAUAUAAACGCUAUAAAAUAUUUAAACACCGUUCUCUAAUAACUUAGACUUUUGAGAUAAAUGGUUGUUUCACAACUUCAAAUCCAUGAAACAAGAGAAUAAUUAGAUAAUUUCCUCUUUUAGGACACAAUUAUUAACACUAGAGGAGAAAAAAAAAAAAAAAAGAUACAAUCAUGAUACUCAUAAUUCUCUUAGUCUUCAUCAUCCUCUUAACACAAACUACUUCAACCAAUCCCAUUGUUUUGGGCCAAAAUUUCUACAAGGAGCUCCUUUUACAUGAUCAUAUGACCAUCUAUUAGCAAGAAAAACACUGAAUUUGAGGAACUAAAACCUAAUUCGAACUAAUUUUACUACAUACCUUCGUGGACAAUUCCACAAACAAUUGAUGGGCAUUGGAAGAGAAUAUUUGCGCCAGAAAAUUUAAGAAAAAUUGCAAAUAAAUCAGAGCGAAUACUUGAGAUUGUUGAAGCAUGAGGGGAUUUUAGAUCGAUACCUCAUCAAAAAUUUGCAAAUUUCGCGCUCGAUGAAACCAAAAAGCUAAGACGCCCAAUUUGAGCUUCAUGUUGGCGCCGGUGCUUUGAAACGUGCGCUGGAGAAAUUUUAAAUAAGAGAUUUAUUAUACUAGUGGUACCUAACCUAAUAUUUGGUGUGUUUUUUACAUUUAACCCCUUCAAAAGAUUUUAUUUUGUAAACAACCCAUCAAAGUUAUAAAUAGAAAAUUGGCUCUAUAUUGUACACGUAAAUAGACUUAGCAAACGGGCGGGUUGGAUAACUGCUGACGAGUUAUUGUACCUACGGGUCAUAUUGGCAUGGGUAAACUUUACCCCGAAUGGGUAGACGGGUAAAUAUGCAGGUCACCUGCAAGAUUUUUUUUCUAUGCUUCUAUACUUUUUCAGAUACAAAAUACAAAUAUAAAAAAGUAUAAUAUAAUUUAUUGUUAGAAAUAUCAUAAUAUGUAAUAAAUAAUAUAAAAUCUUAAAAUGUAAAAAUAGUUUAUCAUUCCAAAUUUUUAUAACACACAAUUAAUAAAGUUUUUUUUAUGAUCAUAAAAUCAAUAUUGUAAAGAUUGUAUAUUUUUUUAAUUUAAAAAAUAUAAACGGGCAUCCAUGGGUACACACAGGUUGCCCAAAAUAUCCACAACUUAAAAAGGUACCCGCCUAUUUUAUUAAUAAUUUUUGGAUAAAAAAAGUUUAGCACCCAUACCCGUAAAUUUGCAGAUAACACGCGUACCCGCAGGUACGGAUAUAGUUUGCCAGGUCUCGAUACACAGAACAAGAUAUUCAUGCAUAUAAACGGGGCAAGGUAUUGUUAUCCAUAAUUUGUUGGUAUAGUAUAUUUUACUAAUAAGAUGAUUUAUUUUAUUCUAAAAAAUGACAUAAAAUUCAAAUAUGAUAUUAUAUUCUGUACAUUUAAUCACACUCCUUAUCAAUCAAAUAUACAAAAUUUUUUAAGUAAAUUAAAAAGAUAUAUUGAACAAAAUAUCAAUGAAUCCAGAUAUGGUACAAGCUUCUUAAAUAAAUGGGACAAUUUUCUGUGUGCCCCUCUAACAGUAAGUAUUUACAUAGAUGCCCCUAUAAAAGUUGAAAUAUCCUAAAUGCCCCUCUAAAUAUAGAAAACUUUAAAAAUAGCCUUCAAAACACAUUUUUGUUAUAAUCUACGGUAACAACAAUCAAAAUACCGAUUUUACCCUUUUCAUAAUUGCCCUUUUAAAUAUUUCAAUUAUUAGAAAUAAUUUUAACUUUUGUAAAUACCCCAUAAAUUUAAAAGUUUUACAAAUUUAAAAGUUAUUUAGUUAUAUUUUCACAUUGAUUUCUGUAAGAAUUAUAUAUUCUAAAAGAAUAAUAUUUUUAUCUUACUCAAUAUUAUUGAAUAUUUCUAAAUUUUUUUAAAAUGGAGAGAGAAAAUAAUAAAUAGCUGAAAAAUUACAAAGUUUUAUCAUUAAUUAUAAAGCAUAAAAUUACUUACUAGAUUUGAAAUUACAAUAAAACGAUUUAGCAUUGUUUACAAAUUUUUUUAAAAAAAACUCAGAUUAUAUGAUAAAUUUUAUAAUCAAGGUUAGAGAAAUGCAAAUGUACUAAAUAACAGUGUGAAUUGACUUUUAUUAAUAUUUUAAUAGUAUUUAAAUUGAAUACUUGUAUCUUUAUCUAAACUAAUUACUAGUGAGGGACAAUUUUGAAAAUUUAUUUGUUGUACAUUUCAUCACAUUAAAGUGCUUUUUCAAAAAAAUUUAAAAAAUUCAGAAUAAAAUGAACAUUUUCAUUCAUUCAUAAUAACCUAUCUAAAUUAAAUAAAUGUUUGGUAGGGAGAUAUAAAUUAACAACGAGAAUAUAUUUAUAAGAUAGUAUUUGUAAGGGUAUUUGUGAUAUAAUCAAAUUUGUAGGGAUGUUUAUAAUAUUUUGAACGUUUAGAGGGGUAUGAAUGAAAUUAACCCUUCAUUAGUAAUAAUUGGAACAUUUAAAAGGGCAAUUAUGAAAAGGGUAAAAUCGGUAUUUUAAUUAUGAAACGGAUAAAAUCGGUAUUUUGAUUGUUGUUACCGUAGAUUUUAAUAAAAAUAUGUUUUGAAGGGUAUUUUUGAAAGUUUUCUAUAUUUAGAGGGGCAUUUAGAAUAUUUCAAUUUUUAUAGGGGUAUUUGUGUAAAUACAUGCUUUUAGAGGGGCACACAGGAAAUUUUCCCUAAAUAAAUUGUGAUAAUAUGUCAAACAAUAUAUUAAUGCAUUUAAAAGGACCUUCAUGUUUGGAGAGCCCGGUCUACAGACCGUGGUCCAGGCAAUAAUUUCCAGCUUCCACCAACCAGCGAGUUGUCUAAGUCCACGUGGCUGCACGACAGGAGCCGCUUGAUGGCAACCUAACGAAAAAUUCUAGAAUAAGGGAGUCAUUGUCUGCACCGGGUGUAUAAGUACAUCCCGUACACCACGAACUUAUCCAAGAUCUCAAAUUAAAUUCUGAUUCAUUCAGUGUUGUUUCGAUUUACUGUCAACUAUACUGGUUUACAAAUUUUAUUACUAAAGCAUUUCCAUGAUUCUUUUAAUCUAAUUAAUUAAAAAAUAUAAUAUUACAAAAUAUCUAUGUCAAAUUUAUAAAGUAUAUACACUAAUGAGUCCGACUACUAUACUAUUGACUGCACCAAGCACUUAGUGCUAUUAAGUUUUCUGCCGUUAGAUCUGCUCGUUUGACCAUUUUCAUCCGUUAGAUCAUACUAUUCAACCAAGUACGCACUUAAUCCUGAAGAAUCACUAUCAUCGUAAUCAAAGAUCACUAUCAUCCUGAUCAGAGACCACUAUCAUCCUAACCACACAUCCCUUCAUCAAAGAGCCAAAAACCUAAUAGCACAAAGCGUUUGGUACUAUAAAUAAUAUAGUAGCCUAAUUAUACACUAAUAGCCUGAUAAAAUAAUAAUAUAACAUAAAAAUAGUCUGCUAGGAAAAUAGAUCAAAUCAAAUUAUCUAAUAUGGAUGAAAUUGUGUGUAGGAUUAUUUUAUUAUUAUGAAGGUAUACUUGUGUCCAAUUAGUUUUUGAAUCACAUAAUUUCACUUCCUAUAUCAUUAGUUUUUUAUGUUAUUUACUUGCUAGAACUAAUUUUUUAUGUUACUUUCAUUUUAAUUAAAAGUUACUUAUCAAAUAUUGGGUUUAUCUCAUGACACUUAUGAUACACUAAGCAUACGCAAUGGAUUCUAGAAAAAAGGAAAAAAUCAACCAUCAGUAUCAGGAAUGAAAAAUAGGUAGAUCCGCCCACCUAAGAGCCCAGUUUCCUUCGAGGGUCGGAAUGGAUUCGAAUCACAGUAAUUUUUAUUUAUUUUUUAUCUCUAUUUACUGCUUUAUUCAUGACGGAUCGGAGUAAGAAUAAAUUUUUAGCAUAUCGAGGCAAAUCAAAGGAAGAAAAGAAUUUUCCACCUCCUGCUCUUUUGUUUUCAGUGGACCGGAGUAGAUUUGCGAUGAUUUAUUAUUAUUUUAUUUUUGGCCCCAAUUACCUCCAUUCGGGGUUGGAGCUCCAUCAUCCAUUUGCUGCCAAAUCCAAAAUGAUAAUUUGGUAAAUCAACAAUAGGGUCCACUAGAUCUACUUUUAUUUAACUUUUAUUGUAUUUAUAUCAAUAAAUGCUAAUUCAGAUACCCUAUAAAAAUUUUCUCUCGAUGGCAUAUAUAAUAAUAUUAUUGAUGAGUUGAUAAUAUUAUUAUUAAAUUCUAAGCACUAUCAUUAUACUCUAAAUACAAUUAUUAAAUUCUAAACAUUAUAAUUAAAUAUUAAACUCUAAAUCCUAAACUCUUUUUUUAAGUGCCAUUACAUCAACGAAUAAUUCAACAACAAUAUAAUAGGUACAAAACAUUAUUCUAUCAAAUAUUAGGAGUGGUUCAUGAUUCACGUGGUACACCAGGUUCAGGCGAUGAAUUUCUUGGGGACAAAAAACAAGCAAGGAGCAUCGACGAUCGGAAUUGGGUGAGCCAACUGUCGGGUCCACGACAUCAACGGCUCACGCCGAAAUCCCAACCGCAAAACUGAUUCGAAGUCAGCGUCGUAGGCUAACUGCCGCACCGCCACGUGUCGGUUGAAGGCCGGGAGGUUGGGGUCGGCUCUGAAGGUUAAAUGGAGGGAUGUUGAUGGGUACGAAUACAUGAAAUUUUAUCCGAAUCCGAAUUUGAACAGAGCGGAUUUUCGACGGAUGUGUAUACGGAUAUAGAUUUUGAGUAUACUCGCCUCAAACCCAAACACGAACCCGACCUAACUCAAAUUAAUUUUAUAUUAUAUAAUAUAUAUAGAGUUCGGCUGCAAUGCUAUCGAUAGCACUAAGCACUUAGUGUUAUCAAAUUUUAUGCCGUUAAAUCAACCCUUUUGAUUAUUUUCAUCCGUUAGAUUAUAUUAUUCAACCAACCACCCACUAAACUCUAAGGAAUUAUUAACAUCAUAAUCGUACAUCGCUUCAUCUAAGAUCCAAAAACUUAAUGGUACCGAUGACUAGGUGCUAUUAAUGGUUCACAUAUAUAGAGUGGGUUGGUAUGCUUAGGAAAGCACGGAGCCCUUCGUGCUUUCAAGUUGUUUUCGAUGUUCGGACUUUCGAAUCGACGAUCGGCUCCGUUUGUAACAUAUGGAAACUUGGAGUCGCGAUGUCAACUUUGACCUAGAGGGUCAAAGUGAGGAUUGAGCUAGUUGGACAUUAUCCCCGAGGGAUUUGUGAUGCGUUGGAAUGAGUUCCAAAGAGAAAUAAGUGUGUUGGCGCAAAUUGGGUGCGAAACGAAAUGUAAAGAGAGUAAAGAGAAUUUCGGAUUUCCGACGCUAACUUUGAUUAAAAGAAUUAAAGUAAGGCGGAAGGAUACAUUGUGGUAUCUCCGAAUCAAUUGUGAAGUUUUGGAAAAGCCAAGGGUGUGUUUUCAAAGGGUUUUGAAGAGCUCAGUGCGAAGUGGUAGUGCAAAACGGCCAUGUAUUGGAAUUGGAGCCGAUUCUAUUUCUAAUUCGGCUCAAAUAAUGUCAAAAUGAAAAGGAAUUGCUUCCAAAUUAAAUUGGUAGCUUGGGAAGGUCCCUUGGUGUAUUUUGGAAGUGUUUGGGUGAAAUCGGAGCGAAAACGGAAAAUUUAGAAUUUUCUGUAAGGAACGGGACUGAGAAAAUUAGCAGAAAAUGCACAGUGUCAGAAAAUUACGAAAAUUGGCAGAGAUGUCAGGAAUAUUAUUAUAAGGCUAGUUUUGAAGUUUCAGAUUUUUCUGACACCUGUAGAGAGAGAAAUAGCAUCUGGAAAUUAUCUGAUAAAGAUUACAGUUCGGGACAGUUCGCAGUGACCAAACGGGGUCGAAACUGAAAUGUUAAAAUUUCAGUGGACUUGUUAAGUAAAAACGAACAUUCCUGCCAAAUUUGAGCUCAAUCGGACUUUCGGAUGAGCCUACGAAAGGUAUUUGAUCCGAGUUGCGCGACGGAGUAUAAGUCGAGGGCAAUUUGGUAAUUACACAUGGCUUAGUGGAUUUCCACUAAACCUGCCAGUAGGGGAGCUCCAUCCUUAUCCCCCCCCCUUCAGCCUGCCUACGUAGAGAGAGAGAAGGAGAAAAGAAGAGAAAAGAGAAGAAGAGAAAAGAGAAGAAGAAGAAGAAAAAGAAGAAAAGAAAGGUGAGAAUUUUCCUCUCCCUCUCUCUGCUGACUAUAUCCCUUCCCCUCUCCCUCUCUCUGCUGUCAGCAGUAACCUCACCAGUAGCAGUAGUAGCAUGAGAAGCUGCAGCAGCAGCAAGCUGCAGCAGCUCAGCCAGCAGCUGCUGCCAGCAGCAGCCUUAGCAGCAGCAGCAGCAGCUGCAGCAAUCAGCAGCAGCAGCUGCAGCUAGCAGCAGCAGCAGCAGUGGCACCAGCAGCCUGCAGUCAGCAGGAGCAGCAGCAGCAGCUGCUGCUUCAGCAGCAGUCAGCAGCAGCUGCUUCAGCAGCAGCUGCUUCAGCAGCAGCUUGCGCAGGGAGUAGCAGCAGCAGCUUCAGCAGCAGGCAGUGAGCAGCAGCAGCAGGAGCUUCAGCAGCAGCAGUAGCUUCAGCUGCAGGGAAGCAAGAAAGAAAGAAAAGAAAAGAAAGAAAGGAAAAGAAAGAAAAGAAGGAAAGAAAGAAAGAAAGUAAGAAAUGAAAUAAAAGAAUAGAGAGGAAUGAAAGAGAGAAAAUGAGAAAGAGGAAGAGAUUGAAAUGAGUUGAAAUACUCUAUACAAUUUGUAAAAUUGCAUAGAAACAGGUUUAAUAGAAAACUGACCGCGACAAUGCACUUUUACAAAAUAAGAGUCCUGAUGCGAAAUUGACCGCGUGUAAACCAAAUUGAGGGUAAAAGAAACGCGUUGGCGAAGUCGGUUCGGCAAUCCGACGAACCUACGCAAAGAUAUCGCCAAAAGAAGGUUUUCGGCUAUAGUUGCCGUUUUAUAUAGCAUUGUAAUGCUAACUUGUAAAAUAUGAGUUAUGACUCAAGUUUAAUCUCUUUUAUACUUGUUUGAAUGAAGAUUAAACUUGCCCAAGAGUCUAAAUUGACUUUCCGACAGGUCGACGACGCUCUAAUUACGGUAGCGGCCGUUCUAGUCCUAUUUGCACAGAGUCGCGAGAGAUAGUCGUCGACGCUUUCCGAGACGUGGAUUCUAGUUGAUUGACACCACUACAGGUGGGUGGUGCUAUCCGAAGUCUUUGAAUCACCUUUUAUGUCUAUGCUAUUCAUUGAGCAUAUUUACUUCUGUUUUCAUGCAUUAUAGGGUAUGGGCAUUGGCAUUAUGCAAGUGAUAUUGAACGUGUGAAUUCUUAGUGAUAGUAAGAACAUAUGAACAUUAGAAUGUGGACAUAGAACCCUAUGAAUGUAUGAAACUGUAAAGGACCAAGACAAUAGUAAACUUAGUGACAUCAUGACUAGAGAUUUGGUUAGCAUCGAGAAAUGCAAUUAUGAAACUAGUAUAAAGAACUAGUUAGAGUUAAAUUGUGACAUUAUUGUUAGUUGAAUCCUCUAAAGGGGGAUCAGAUCUUACUCACAUAGUCUGUUUUCUUGCUUGGUGGUGGUCGCUCCCCCCAGGCAGUGAGCUCCGGAGUAGUCACUUGUUGGGCUAACGUACUUGCCCCAGGACUAACGUACUUGUCCGACAGACGGUCCCAUCGGGAGGCAGCUUAGGGCCCGUGAGGGAUUUCGUUGGUGAGUUAUUGUUAACCAAAGGGUUAACCACUGAAUUGGGUAAAUUUAUGGGCUAACGUACUUGCCCCAGGACUAACGUACUUGUCCAGCUGUUAACCACAGGGUUAACCAAAAGAUUGGGUAAAGUUAAUGAAAAGCAUGCAUGCAUAUUUACAGUUUUCAUAUCUGUUACUUCUUUCAGCUUUGUACAGGCAUUGUAGUAGUUACAUAUUAUAGUUGGUUACUAUCUCAGUUUACUUUUCUUAUCUACAUAUGCCUGAGUAGACCUAGUGGGUGAGUCGGCGAGGUCGGCGGCCGAACCCACUGGGAACUUUCUUGUAGUUCUCACACCACUAACCAUACAGGUUCCAGUGCGAGUAUUGUGGCCGAGGAUCGAGGCAAGAGCCAGCAGCCUAGCUAGUGGACACCCGAGUACUAGUGGUAUACCAUUUUGGGUUCAUGUAUCAUCUAUUUCGAUGUACAGAGACAUGUAAAUGAAUAUAUAAAGCAUGUAAAUAGCUAAAUGUUUCAGUUAUACAGUUCAGUUUGAAAGUUUUAAGUUACAGUGAAUUUCAUUGUAUAGUUAGUUUACUAUCACUUGUGUUUGUUGCUUGCCUUCGUGCAAGCCAUGUAUAUUGAAAUGUGAUCCUGGGAAUUAUUUAUUUCUCUAUACAUGUAUCCGUUGUUGUUGAGCCUUGGGCGAACAGAGGAGGUGCUGUUCGUUCGGCGUCUGUGUACGGGCCCGGAUCGACCAAAUUGGCGACCGCGGGACGUGACACCGUUAGAGUUGAUCUAGAGUAUUUGAAGUACCUAGAAAAUAAAUUUUGUGAUUUUUCGAUAUCAUUUGCCUAGUGAUCGAAGGGACUCAAAAUCAAUAAUUUUAAUAGCCGUGGUGAGCCGGUUGCAAGUUUAAUGGUGUAGAAAUAUCCAAAUCACAUGAAAUUUUGAUAGAAAAUUCUUUAUACCAUAUAAAACAAGAUCAAUAACUUUGAUCUAAAAUUUAAUGUCAUAUCAUCAUACUUUGUAAGAUUUUUAUUUUCAGUCGUUGAUUUUGAGCCACUUCGAUCGCUAGGCAAAUAAUAUCGAAAAUUCGCAAAAUUUAUUUUCUAGAUACUUCAAAUACUUUAGAUCAAGUCUAACGGAGCCGAUCGU
rnacentral:lncRNA from 1 species